rnacentral:rRNA from 1 species
AGUGAACGCUGGCGGUAUGCCUAACACAUGCAAGUCGAACGGCAGCACAGUAAGAGCUUGCUCUUACGGGUGGCGAGUGGCGGACGGGUGAGGAAUACAUCGGAAUCUACUUUUUCGUGGGGGAUAACGUAGGGAAACUUACGCUAAUACCGCAUACGACCUACGGGUGAAAGCAGGGGAUCUUCGGACCUUUCGCGAUUGAAUGAGCCGAUGUCGGAUUAGCUAGUUGGCGGGGUAAAGGCCCACCAAGGCGACGAUCCGUAGCUGGUCUGAGAGGAUGAUCAGCCACACUGGAACUGAGACACGGUCCAGACUCCUACGGGAGGCAGCAGUAGGGAAUAUUGGACAAUGGGCGCAAGCCUGAUCCAGCCAUACCGCGUGGGUGAAGAAGGCCUUCGGGUUGUAAAGCCCUUUUGUUGGGAAAGAAAAGCAGCAGGUUAAUCCGCCGAUGUUCUGACGGUACCCAAAGAAUAAGCACCGGCUAACUUCGUG